AGCGAACGCUGGCGGCAGGCCUAAUACAUGCAAGUCGAGCGCACCUUCGGGUGAGCGGCGGACGGGUGAGUAACGCGUGGGAAUGUGCCCUUUGGUACGGAACAACUGAGGGAAACUUCAGCUAAUACCGUAUGUGCCCUUCGGGGGAAAGAUUUAUCGCCAUAGGAGCAGCCCGCGUUGGAUUAGGUAGUUGGUGAGGUAAAGGCUCACCAAGCCUACGAUCCAUAGCUGGUCGAGAGGAUGAUCAGCCACACUGGGACUGAGACACGGCCCAGACUCCUACGGGAGGCAGCAGUAGGGAAUCUUGCGCAAUGGGCGAAAGCCUGACGCAGCCAUGCCGCGUGAAUGAUGAAGGUCUUAGGAUUGUAAAAUUCUUUCACCGGGGAAGAUAAUGACGGUACCCGGAGAAGAA
rnacentral:rRNA from 1 species